UUAAUUGAAACCAAAAUAGAGGUAAAUCACUGUUAAUGAUUUUAUUGAAUUA
rnacentral:tRNA from 1 species